CCUACGGGUGGCUGCAGUGGGGAAUAUUGGACAAUGGGCGAAAGCCUGAUCCAGCCAUGCCGCGUGUGUGAAGAAAGCCUUCGGGUUGUAAAGCACUUUCAGUGGGGAAGAAAGCCUUGGGGCUAAUACCCUCGAGGAAGGACAUCACCCACAGAAGAAGCACCGGCUAACUCCGUGCCAGCAGCCGCGGUAAUACGGAGGGUGCGAGCGUUAAUCGGAAUUACUGGGCGUAAAGCGCGCGUAGGCGGUCUGAUAAGCCGGUUGUGAAAGCCCCGGGCUCAACCUGGGAACGGCAUCCGGAACUGUCAGGCUAGAGUGCAGGAGAGGAAGGUAGAAUUCCCGGUGUAGCGGUGAAAUGCGUAGAGAUCGGGAGGAAUACCAGUGGCGAAGGCGGCCUUCUGGACUGACACUGACGCUGAGGUGCGAAAGCGUGGGUAGCAAACAGGAUUAGAUACCCUGGUAGUC
rnacentral:rRNA from 1 species